AUUGAACGCUGGCGGCAUGCCUUACACAUGCAAGUCGAACGGCAGCACGGGAGCAAUCCUGGUGGCGAGUGGCGAACGGGUGAGUAAAGUAUCGGAACGUGCCCAGUCGUGGGGGAUAACGUAGCGAAAGUUACGCUAAUACCGCAUACGAUCUAUGGAUGAAAGCGGGGGAUCGCAAGACCUCGCGCGAUUGGAGCGGCCGAUAUCAGAUUAGGUAGUUGGUGGGGUAAAGGCUCACCAAGCCGACGAACUGUAGCUGGUCUGAGAGGACGACCAGCCACACUGGGACUGAGACACGGCCCAGACUCCUACGGGAGGCAGCAGUGGGGAAUUUUGGACAAUGGGCGAAAGCCUGAUCCAGCCAUGCCGCGUGCAGGAUGAAGGCCUUCGGGUUGUAAACUGCCUUUGUACGGAACGAAAAGGUUUGGCCUAAUAAGCUGAGCUCAUGACGGUACCGUAAGAAUAAGCACCGGCUAACUACGUGCCAGCCGCCGCGGUAA
rnacentral:rRNA from 1 species